UCACUUCAAACUUCUCUCUCUUCUCUUAUUUCUAGAGAGAGAGGCUCUGCCUUCUCUCUAGAAUCCUUCAUCUUCUCCGAUGAGAAGAGAGGUGGCCGGAGGUGGUUCCGGCGCGGUGGCCGGUGAGUUUUCACGGCGGCGCCACCGCGCCGGAGUCAAAAACUCCUCUUUUUUUGAUUUUUUUUUACCAAAAGAUUAACCUUUCCUUUCUCCUUUCUUUUUUGAAAACGUUUUUCUGAAAUGAGCUUUAACGGACCCUAGAUCUACAAAAAGGGUUACUACCUUUUUAUUGUUUUUUUUUCUUGAUCUGGAUCUGUGUUGGUUUGGUGGUGGUGUUUCACGGUUUUGAUGUUUGUGAAUGGGGUUUGAUUUGAGUAUGAUGGUUUGGAAUUAGGAUUGUGGAUACGUGAUUCUGAUGUUGUGUGCGUGAUUGAUGCUUAGUUGAUGCGUUUGGGUUUUUGUGAAGAUUUGAAUCGAAAGAGGUUGAAUGAAAAUUGUUUUGUUGGAAAGUUGAUUAGGGCUGGAAUUUUGUUAGUUGGUAGUGUGUGUUUGCUGGAAAAUUGUUCUCUGUAUUUUUAGUUUAUUGCUAUUUUUUGCUGUUGGGGCCCCUCCCUUUGUCUGUGUGCAGGUGGUUAUAUUUAUAGAGCUGAAUUUCUGUUGCUUGGAGAGGAACA
rnacentral:lncRNA from 1 species